UUGCCCUGAGGACUGGACACCCCCUACCUUCCUGGCUUCCAGGGUUCUGGACCCCACCGACAGGCGGCAGGACCCCCUCUGCCCCCCGCCCGACACCCCGUCAGUGAACCCUGACCUCGACCAAGUGUUGCCUUCAUCUCUCAAAAGUCUUGUGCAACCAGUUCGGCGUCUUGCAGCAGUGCCUGCGAACCCGAGUGAGUCCGUCGCUCCCUCCGCGAAAACCUCGACCCUUUUCCGGAAGCCUUGGGCUCCAGCACCCAUGCCUGCUGCAGCCGCCAAAGAGCGGAAAGCCCCAGACUCUGCGGGUCUUGGUUAAGCGUCUCUGGUCGUGCCUGGUCUCCUGCAUCUGUUCCACUGCCCGGCCAUCUCCCUCGUGCAGCCCAGAACAAUUGAGAGGAAGCGUUGGCGGGCUGCGGGGAAUGACUGUUGGGUUUUUCCACUAGUAUUGAGUGGUUUUUGCGAAGAAUACGUUGCUGUCGGUGGUGUCCGGGUCGUCUCUCCCUCUUUUCCUUUUGGUCCCCAUAAAUGAGCUGUUUUCGGCUCUGGGAAAGAAAAGCCUUCCAGCGAUUAUACGGAUCUAAUUAAGUCAAUCAGGAAACUGCUGGAGAGCGGCACUAGCUUAAAGCGGAAUUUGUCCGGAGGCACAGCGGAACGAUUGCACGCGGCCCUUUUCAGCGGUUCGAGCUCGGCCAGCGCCGCUGCAAACGGAAGCCUGAGCUGGGCUAGGGGAACUACGCCCGCAGACUUCUCUAAUUUUAUUCACAAAACUGGCCACCCUCGGGGAAAGCGGCAAAGCCCGCGUGAGCCUCCUCCUUCCCACUCCGGACCUAGCUGCAGCUCCAAAGCGAGACAGCUGUCUAGCCUCAGCCGAUAUAUCUCCCGGCCCCCUUCUCCACCCGGAUCUUUGGCUGCUCAGGAGCGAUCAGUUCCCUUAGCCCAGGUGGGAGGCGGGAGACUCCAGAUCCUGUGACUUGCCGGUGUAGACCUCAGACAUGUUACCCAUGCACAGAAAUGACUGGGGCUCCAGUGUGUGCACCUUCAACUCUGAAGCCCACCUGCCCACUUCAGGUGCUGGCUCAGAGACAGGUGCCUCCGCCGUAACCCCCACACGUCUGCUGGGCAAAGUUCGAAAGAAUGAAUUUCCAUCUUCUCUUUCCACUACUCCUGGCCACUGUCCCCUCCCAGCCCCAUCUCCCCACCCCCCAACCCUGGACUAUGUGGUAGGGGGCUCGCUUAAGCACUCUGCACUCGAGUACUGCGAGUACUGCGCGUGGAGACCAAGGCGAGCUGCGGAGCCUGUCGGCUGUUGUUUGUGGGAAGAGGGUUGCGACCUCAGGAGAGAGCAAAAACAGUGUCACUUAAAACCCGCCGGUCCCGAAGAUCCACAGAGUUCACGGAGUGGUAGGGAAGGCUCCACACUCUUGAGAGCAGAGGCAGCCAGGGGCAGUGGGGGACGCUUCCAGACCUCACGCUUCGUGUCCAUUGAGUGGACCCAGGACUGCCUGGAAGCCUCAUCAUCCAGGCCCACGACUUCCCCCCAGAGUCUGAAGCCUUGCGACCUGGUCGGGGACGACAAACCUGCUGGGGUCAGCAGCGAGACCUUAAUGGGGAAUGAGGAUGUGCGACCAUGUGCCUGGGCUGAGUGUCUGUGA
ensembl:lncRNA